GAUCAUGGCUCAGGACGAACGCUGGCGGCGCGCCUAACACAUGCAAGUCGAACGGGGUUAUACGGGAUGAAGUUUUCGGAUGGAAUUCUAUAUAACCUAGUGGCGGACGGGUGAGUAACACGUGAGCAACCUGCCUAUCAGAGGGGGAUAACGAUUGGAAACGAUCGCUAAUACCGCAUGACAUUGCGAAGAGGCAUCUUUUUGCUAUCAAAGAUUUAUCGCUGAUAGAUGGGCUCG
rnacentral:rRNA from 1 species